UCGAAGGAAAAUAAAACAAGAUAACAUAUAAAACAAUUUAAAGUAAAUAAUAAUUUAAAAUAAUUGAUUUAAUAACGAUUCAAAAUAAAUAAUAAAAGUUUCAAAUAAACAACAUUAGGAAAACUCAACAUAAAUAAAAAUAAAAUAAAAUAUAUAUCGAAUUGUAUAAGCCCAAAUAUGCCCGGGCCCAAUAAACUAAACCUAAGCCCAAACUAAACCUAGCCCAAAAAACAAAAAAAUAAUAGAAACCCUAAGCAGAAAAAACCACCAGCCGCCGCCCUCAACAGCAGCCACGUUCGUCGCAGCCUCUUGCGCUCCUUCCCC
rnacentral:lncRNA from 1 species